GUUGGGUGUGGAGGCUCAUGCCUAUAAUCCUAGCACUUUGGGAAUCUGAGGCAGGAGGACUGCUUGAGCCCAGGAGUUCGAGGGUACAGUGAGCUAUGAUUGUGCCACUGUACUCUAGCCUGGGUGACAGAGCAAGACCCUGUCUCAA
ensembl:misc_RNA Metazoa_SRP Metazoan signal recognition particle RNA